UACGUAGGGGGCAAGCGUUGUCCGGAAUUAUUGGGCGUAAAGAGCGUGUAGGCGGUCCGGUAAGUCAGCUGUGAAAGUCAAGGGCUCAACCCUUGAAAGCCGGUUGAUACUGUCGGGCUAGAGUCCGGAAGAGGCGAGUGGAAUUCCCGGUGUAGCGGUGAAAUGCGCAGAUAUCAGGAAGAACACCCGUGGCUAAGGCGGCUCUCUAGUACGGUACUGACGCUGAGACGCGAAAGCGUGGGGAGCGAACAGG
rnacentral:rRNA from 1 species